rnacentral:rRNA from 1 species
AGCGAACGCUGGCGGCAGGCCUAACACAUGCAAGCCGAACGAAGUCUUCGGACUUAGUGGCGGACGGGUGAGUAACACGUGGGAACGUGCCCUUAGGUUCGGAAUAACUCAGGGAAACUUGUGCUAAUACCGAAUGUGCCCUUCGGGGGAAAGAUUUAUCGCCUUUAGAGCGGCCCGCGUCUGAUUAGCUAGUUGGUGAGGUAAAGGCUCACCAAGGCGACGAUCAUUAGCUGGUCUGAGAGGAUGAUCAGCCACAUUGGGACUGAGACACGGCCCAAACUCCUACGGGAGGCAGCAGUGGGGAAUCUUGCGCAAUGGGCGAAAGCCUGACGCAGCCAUGCCGCGUGAAUGAUGAAGGUCUUAGGAUUGUAAAAUUCUUUCACCGGGGACGAUAAUGACGGUACCCGGAGAAGAAGCCCCGGCUAACUUCGUGCCAGCAGCCGCCGUAAUAC